rnacentral:rRNA from 1 species
CCUACGGGUGGCAGCAGUGAGGAAUAUUGGUCAAUGGACGGAAGCCUGAACCAGCCAUGCCGCGUGCAGGAAGACUGCUCUAUGAGUUGUAGACUUCUUUUUUACAACGAUAAACCUGAAUACGUGUAUUCAGCUGAACGUACUGUACGAAUAAGGAUCGGCUAACUCCGUGCCAGCAGCCGCGGUAAUACGGAGGAUCCAAGCGUUAUCCGGAUUUAUUGGGUUUAAAGGGUGCGUAGGCGGAUUGAUAAGUUAGUUGUGAAAGGUACGAGCUUAACUGGGGAACUGCCUUUGAUACUGUCGAUCUAGAGUGUAGUUGAGGUAGGCGGAAUGCAUGGUGUAGCAGUGAAAUGCUUAGAGAGCAUGAAGAACACCGAUUGCGAAGGCAGCUUACUAAUCUAUAACUGACGUUGAGGCACGAAAGCGUGGGGAGCAAACAGGAUUAGAUACCCUAGUAGUC